rnacentral:rRNA from 1 species
CGCUGGCGGCGUGCCUAAUACAUGCAAGUCGAACGAACUCUGGUAUUGAUUGGUGCUUGCAUCAUGAUUUACAUUUGAGUGAGUGGCGAACUGGUGAGUAACACGUGGGAAACCUGCCCAGAAGCGGGGGAUAACACCUGGAAACAGAUGCUAAUACCGCAUAACAACUUGGACCGCAUGGUCCGAGCUUGAAAGAUGGCUUCGGCUAUCACUUUUGGAUGGUCCCGCGGCGUAUUAGCUAGAUGGUGGGGUAAUGGCUCACCAUGGCAAUGAUACGUAGCCGACCUGAGAGGGUAAUCGGCCACAUUGGGACUGAGACACGGCCCAAACUCCUACGGGAGGCAGCAGUAGGGAAUCUUCCACAAUGGACGAAAGUCUGAUGGAGCAACGCCGCGUGAGUGAAGAAGGGUUUCGGCUCGUAAAACUCUGUUGUUAAAGAAGAACAUAUCUGAGAGUAACUGUUCAGGUAUUGACGGUAUUUAACCAGAAAGCCACGGCUAACUACGUGCCAGCAGCCGCGGUAAUACGUAGGUGGCAAGCGUUGUCCGGAUUUAUUGGGCGUAAAGCGAGCGCAGGCGGUUUUUUAAGUCUGAUGUGAAAGCCUUCGGCUCAACCGAAGAAGUGCAUCGGAAACUGGGAAACUUGAGUGCAGAAGAGGACAGUGGAACUCCAUGUGUAGCGGUGAAAUGCGUAGAUAUAUGGAAGAACACCAGUGGCGAAGGCGGCUGUCUGGUCUGUAACUGACGCUGAGGCUCGAAAGUAUGGGUAGCAAACAGGAUUAGAUACCCUGGUAGCAUACCGUAAACGAUGAAUGCUAAGUGUUGGAGGGUUUCCGCCCUUCAGUGCUGCAGCUAACGCAUUAAGCAUUCCGCCUGGGGAGUACGGCCGCAAGGCUGAAACUCAAAGGAAUUGACGGGGGCCCGCACAAGCGGUGGAGCAUGUGGUUUAAUUCGAAGCUACGCGAAGAACCUUACCAGGUCUUGACAUACUAUGCAAAUCUAAGAGAUUAGACGUUCCCUUCGGGGACAUGGAUACAGGUGGUGCAUGGUUGUCGUCAGCUCGUGUCGUGAGAUGUUGGGUUAAGUCCCGCAACGAGCGCAACCCUUAUUAUCAGUUGCCAGCAUUAAGUUGGGCACUCUGGUGAGACUGCCGGUGACAAACCGGAGGAAGGUGGGGAUGACGUCAAAUCAUCAUGCCCCUUAUGACCUGGGCUACACACGUGCUACAAUGGAUGGUACAACGAGUUGCGAACUCGCGAGAGUAAGCUAAUCUCUUAAAGCCAUUCUCAGUUCGGAUUGUAGGCUGCAACUCGCCUACAUGAAGUCGGAAUCGCUAGUAAUCGCGGAUCAGCAUGCCGCGGUGAAUACGUUCCCGGGCCUUGUACACACCGCCCGUCACACCAUGAGAGUUUGUAACACCCAAAGUCGGUGGGGUAACCUUUUAGGAACCAGCCGCCUAAGGUGGGACAGAUGAUUAGGGUGAAGUCGUACAAGGUACCGGGUCAUA